rnacentral:rRNA from 1 species
UACGAACCGUGCGAACGUUGUUCGGAUUCACUGGGCUUAAAGGGCGCGUAGGCGGCUUGCCAAGUCAGGGGUGAAAUCUUUCGGCUCAACCGGAAAAGUGCCUUUGAUACUGGCGAGCUAGAGGGAGGUAGGGGUGCGUGGAACUUCUGGUGGAGCGGUGAAAUGCGUAGAUAUCAGAAGGAACGCCGGUGGCGAAAGCGACGCACUGGAUCUCUACUGACGCUGAGGCGCGAAAGCCAGGGGAGCGAACGGG